AAAAUCCGUGUGUUGAACACUCGAAUUGCCUAUUCCUUGUAGAACAGUGAGUGUUCAGAAACCUGCACGUGGUGAGGUUAAGUCUUUGACUUUUAAUGACUCUAGAACUCCUCGAAGGGGACAAGUAUAGCAGGAUACUUGAGUUAAGAGUCACCUAUGUAAGUGUGAAGUGGGGCCGCUUCGAUUGAAACACUUAUGAAUCCAAAGAGGUGUUCCA
rnacentral:lncRNA from 1 species